UAUUUAUUAUCAGAAAAAGAAAAGAAAAGGGGAAAAAAAGAGAAAGAAAAACUUGUGGAUUUUUUUGUUUUAUAAAACUGAAUGAAUUUUGUGUUUUUUGCCAAGCAGCCUGUUGGUUU
rnacentral:ribozyme from 13 species